AAGUGUAUAUUAGCAUACAGUAUGUGAAUAAAGCUUCCUUUGGAAGCUGUUACCAACUGGCACACAUGCACGAAGAAGAGAAAACCAAAUUUAGCAUUUAAGUGACACGUUGCCUAUUAGAUAUACAUGGACAAGAAAAAAAGAAAAAAAAAAGAAAAAAGAAAAGAAAAGAGGAAACGACGAGUUUAGGAAGGGCAGAGGAAUAGAGAAAACUGAAAAGAGAAAGAAGAAAAGAAAAGGAAAGGGUUGCUGGAAAAAAACUCAGUAGGCAGGCAAUGAGAAUGAACUGAUCACUUCGGCAAUAUCAAAGGAUAAGUAGAUAAUUUGAGAAGUAGUCAAGCCUUUCUUGUAUCAUCAUUUGACUUGCCAUAAAUUGUUUGGAAGACGUGGUACUGGCAGGGGGUGUUUUCAGUGCGGAAGGGAAGGCCACCAGAAGAAGGAUUGUCUUGUGUUAAAAGCAGAAGAGUGCUAUCAUUGCCACCAGUCGGGUCAUCGGAAAAGAGAUUGUCCUAUGUUAACAGGAGUGACUUCAGUGGGUAGUGUUGUCAGUUCUGGUUUGCACAGGGGAGCUCGUCAAGAGGAGGUAGGGGUGCUACAAGUGGUUCGCAAGCCCAGGGAAGAGUGUUUGCUAUGACACUUCAGGAUGCUCAAGCAACACCAGAAGUGGUGACAGGCAAUGAGAGGGAACCGAUCACUUCGGCAAUAUCAAAGGAUAAGUAGACAAUUUGAGAAGUAGUCAAGGUACAAGGUUAGGUUGCUACUGCCAAGUCUAGAAUCUUGAGUGGGAAUGGGGAAAGGAAUAAUGGAACGUCUUUUGUUUAAGAUGUAAAUAUUGUAAUAGAACUUGUCAUUAACGAUUUAGUUUGUCAGAAUUUGCAUAACAGGUCUAUAAUUUGCUUUUAGAUUGUAAAUUGUUAAGCAAGUACUCUGAUAUAUGAUGAUGUCAUGUUGAAUGUGGUUAAUGCA